rnacentral:lncRNA from 1 species
AAACACCCAAGAAUUAUCAAUAAAAAAAUAAAUUAAAAAAAAAAAUAAAUAAAUAAAUCCAGCAAAAAUAAAAAUAAAAAAUAAAAUCCCCUUGAAUACAUUUGAGGUAAUGUUGUAGUUUUCAGCUCCUCCCACGAGAGAUUUUAUGGAGUGCCUAACUGUGCUACCCGGGUGCUGCUCCUGUCGUUAGUGGUGGCACCCAGGAGGAAUUAAAAUUACAAGAGUGUUUCCUUCCAGAUGUUGUUGCUACAGGCUCAAGGUGCUCUUUUAACUGGGACAUCAGGCUUUCUUGAAAUAGACAAGAAUUCUAGAAACAUGACAUUGUGCCUGAUUCAUCGCUUCAACUUGCCACUGACUCAUUCUCUCCUUGAUAGGUUAUUCAACAGUAACUUUAAUUACAUCAUUUACUUAUUGUUUUCUUCCUUGAUUUAUUCUCUUUCUACAAUUCUUGUUUAUCAUCUCAGUGAUUGGACCAUCUCACCUCUGAGACUUGGGUAGAAUUCUGUGGACUCUGGAAAUAGACAUGGAGGUUUUCAUGUAUCUCUGUUAAUGUGUACAAACACCCCCAGGCUUGUACACUUGAAAUACAUCAGUAGGAAGGGUAGUUCUCAAUUUGCUAGUGUUUCACACAGCUUGUCUUAUUUAAUGAUCUCAGCUGCCCUAUGAAGUAGAUACCAUCCUAUUAAAAAAUGCAGGAGCAGAGGCUCUGAGAGGGGACUGUAACUUACCCAAGAUCAUGUGGUAGAUUGCAAAACUGGUUCCAAAUCCCUACCCUUCCCUGUACGCACACCUUUUGCCAUUCAUCUGCAAUGUCCUUUUCUGAUUCUGGGCUCAGCAAUAUAACUUGCUCUGGCCAACAGGAUAACAACAGCAAAUGUGAUGUAAGCAAAAGCUUGAGAAAUACUUGUGCAACUAAUCAUGUUUGCCUUCUCUCUUGUACCUGUGCCAUUGCCAUGAGAACAUGCCUGGGCUAGGAUUAGAGACACUUGGAGCAGAGCUGAGUCAUCCCAGCUGUCCCAGUUGAGGCCAGCCUAGGUCAGUCGAUGGCAACCAAGCCCUAAGCAUGUUAGUGAGCCCAGCCAUGAUCAGCACAACCACCUAGCCAACCAUCCCAGACCUGUGAUCAAUAAAGCCUUACUAUUCCAUACCACCUAGGUUUUGUGAUUAUUUAUUUCACAGAAUUAUUAUGGCAGUAUGUAACUGAUAGAAGCGGUGUACAGGGAAGAGUAUUUGUUAGUCCGUUUUCACACUGCUGAUAAAGACAUAUGCGAGACUGAGCAAUUUACAAAAGAAAGAGGUUUAAUGGACUUACAGUUCCACGUGGCUGGGGAAGCCUCACAAUUGUGGUGAAAGGUGAAAGUCACAUCUCACAUGGCAGCAGACAAGAGAAGAAGAGCUUGUGCAGGGAAACUCCCCUUUUAAAAACCAUCAGAUCUCAUGAUACUUAUUCACUAUCAUCAGAAUAGCCUGGGAAAGACCUGUCCCCAUGAUUCAGUUACUUCCCACCGUGUCACUCCCACAACAAGUGGGAAUUCAAGAUGAGAUUUGGGUAGGGACACAGCAAAACCAUAUUAGAGCAGAUCUCUGGAAUUGGGCAGGCCAAGGUUUGAAUCCCAUCUGUUAUUUGGAGUGUGUGUUUCUUUUUGAGACUAAUCUCCUUACCCUUGAAAUGAGGUAAUAUACUUCCCUCAUAGGGUUGCUGGGAAGAUUAAACACGAGGUGAAGUAAAUAAAGCCCCAGGGACAUAAGCAAAAAAUAAUGGCUUCUCACAGCAAUGCUCCAGAACAUACAACAAGGGAAUACUGGGCCCAGUCCCAGGACUAUCCAAGUGUGAAGCCAACACCUUUUCACAUCAACUCCAAGGUAAGGAUUAAGAACAGAAUGGCCUGGUUCUAAUCUUACCAUGAAAUGCUGCUCCCCUGAAUCUUCCAUUGCAGUAUAGAGAGCAGGACAGGCCUUUAAAAAAUUAAUGUUGCUUAAAUUUAGGAGCCUGAAAAAAAAGCCAAAUCCAAGAUUUUCCUUUGGACUUGUGGUUUUGCCAGAUAGGUGGCAGUGAUUUCGGGAAGGAGGGUUGCUUUUGUCCUGGGUAUGGGUGUGUUUCAAAGUCCUCCGGGCACAGUUGGGAGCAGGGGCCAGCCUGGCUGCGUUUGCCCUGACUCUGUUGGUUGCCCCUCUGCAUGCACAUGCAUUUUUGAUGACAGAUCAUUCAGGAAAUGUGAAUGUUUCCCUGGGAGGCUUUGCUUUUUUCACCUGGCCUUCUUUUCUGGGCCUCCUGUGGGGCUGCCCUUUCCCUUCCUUUGAAGCCAUUGUCUUCUUGACAUGAAAAAUGUACUCAGGUACGCUUAUGGCUAAUUAUCUCAAGGGGGAAGAAAAAACAAAAUGAACUCAAGGCUGAAAUAUAGAACCAUUAACUCUGUAAACUCUGAAAAGUCAUAAGACACUUUUUUAAAAUUAAAAAAAUACAUAUACAUUUGAAAUAGUUUCUUCUUAAACAGAUAAACAGAAUUAACUUGGGAUGUUUCCUACACAAUUUAGCUUCCUUCUCUCUCCCUCCACUCCCACCCCAGAUAGCUCACUUCCCUUUAUCAUCUCUGAUGCUGAUGAUGGGUGACAACAGUUAGCUGCACUGUACUCUGCCUCUAACUUAUUUUAUGACCUUGGAUAAGUUACAUGGCAUUUCUGAGCUUCUGCUUCUCAUAAGUAAGAUGACAUUGCUAUUACAUUUCUUUAAAACUUUUUUUAGUACUGUAAAACAAUAAUUUAUUACCUCUUGCAGUUCCAUGGGCUGACUGGACUCCACUGGGAGUUCUUGAUGUCUCUCGUGUGGUUGUGUGAGAUAGUGGCUGGGACUGGACUCAUCUGAAGGCUUGACUGGGCUGGAUGCCCAAGAUAGCCCACUUUUAGACAGAGGUGGCUGGCAGUUGAUGCUGACUGUCAGCUGGGGACUCAGCUGAGAGUGUUAACUGGAGUCCCUAGACGUGGCUUCUCCACAUGGCUUGGGCUUCUCAUGGAAGGGCACCUGGAUUCUGAGAGAGAGCAUCCCAAGAGACACAAGUGGAAAUGAUAAGGCUUCUUAUGACGUAGACUGGAGGUACUGAGACAUCACUUUUGCUACAUUAGAAGGUUAGAUGCUGACAUUUUAUGAUUUCACAACUUGGAUCCUCUGUCCUCUGAUACUGAAUCAGAUAGUAGUUUAUGGAGCUGAGCAGAGAGCCAGCUGGUCCUGGGCACAGAGGAGGCUGUGUUCCAUGCUGAAGACAAGAACAUAUGGUGGACGUACCAUCCUAACUAUCUGGGAAGGGAGCUUCGUGGCUACAUGGGAGUUAUCAUCUGCCAGUGCCGGCUGCAUCCUGGCUGUGCCCACCUCUGGACUCUGAAUCUCUGCACCUCAGUACCCCCAACCCCAACACGACUGUGAUGUUAGGCAUAUAUUAGGCAUGUGAAGAUGAGAAAGAGAAGAUACAGCUCCCAUGUUUAUCUCCAUGAGAAGAUAAGCCACAGGGAGAGAGAAAGACUGUUGUGCACGAGAGGGAGUGUCAAAUGCCAAAUGGAUGUCAGCAGUCGGGGUGUGCUAGAGGCACUCAGGGGAAGGGAGGCUGGGCAUAGAGGGUCAUGCUGGAGGAGGUGACUCUGGAUCUGAAUCUUGAAAGGUGAGUAGGAAUUACUCAAGGAAGGAAUGGGAAGGGCAUUUCAGGGGAGAGAUCCAUGUGAGUGAAAUAUGAGGACUGGCAGGGAACAGCAACCCACGUGGGUAACCGCAGAGUGACAGGAGGUGAGAGGUGGUGGGAGAUGGAGCUGGAGAUGCAGGCAGGGCCCAGGGUCAUGCAGGGCCUGGGAGGACAGGUUACAAUAUUCCCAUUUUCCUAGACUAGGACCUAGAAGCUCGGGAAGAUAAAGGGACUUGACUAAGGUCACAUAACUUGUAAGUGACCAGUCAGGCUUCGAACCCAGGACUCUGUGACGCCUCAGUCUCACCCCCUUUGCAUCAUCGUGUAAUGGCAGUUGCUGCUGCUGGUUUUCCCAGCUCCCUCUCCCAUUUCUCUGAGGCUCCUGGCAGACAAAGGGUGUUGCUUUUCUGCACCAUUUAUUGUAGUGACUUCAAUUAAACCAUCUUGUGCUGGAUCAGUGAGCAGCUCUAGGGAAUCGAUGAGCAGCACUGGCUACCAGGGAAGCAGAGUCUCCUCCCUUUGUUCCUGCCAAUCCUAGGUCUGGGUUCCUGUCCCCAGGUCUAGGGAGGACUCAAGAGAGGAAAUGGGGACCAGGGGGGCAGGUAGCAAAUCAUGAGACAAGGAAGCAAGUGUCUAUUACCUUCCUGACAUUGAGGGUGGGUGGCCAGCCCUUGGAUGUUCAUCUUUCCUGGCCCUGCCCACUGCUGCCCUUGCUCAGCUGCCUUCCUCUGGCUAAUUGGGACCUGCAGCUGCAGCUCCAAGACAAUGGGGCAUCCCACCUGGCUGCCUUCGGUGCAGGCCCAGUGUGCAAGGAACCUGGGCCCCAAGGAAGAGGAGCUAAGGGCCCUGUCCUAACUUGCUACAUGGCCUUUGGCAGAUUGCCUCCACUCUCUGAGGCUUCUUCUGGGGAAAAACAACAGGGUGGAAAUUGCAGUACAUGAUGCUGUUGUUCUCCACUUGUCGUCUUCAAUUCAUUGUCUCUCCUUCUUAGAAUUGCUCUGUGCCUCAGAAGGCUGAUCCCUGUGGAAUGAAUCAAUGGGUUCCUGUGUCUAUUGGCUCCAGUAUGAUUUGGCCACUGGGAGACACAGGCAGGAGGCUGGAAAGUGGGAGAGUAUUUCUUCUCUGCUACCUCUCUGCUUUGAUGCAGGGUUGGGCCAGUGCCAUUCUGCCUGGCUAUAGCUUCUUUCCAGCAGUCCUUCCCACUGCUCCAGGCCUCAGUGGGCUCCAGUAACCUUCUUUAGGCCCAUGGGUGGUUUCCAGCAUGAUAUGGUUUGGAUCUGUGUCCCUGCCCAAAUCUCAUGUGGAAUUGUAAUCCCCAUUGUUGGAGGUGGGGCCUGGUGGGAGGUAAUUGGAUCAUGAGGGCAGUUUUAAUGCUUAAGCACCAUUCCCCUAGUGCUGUUCUCAUGAUAGGGUUCUCAUGAGAUCUGGUUGUUUAAAAGUGUGUAGCACCUCCACCCUCUCUCUCUUCCUCCUGCUCUGGCCAUGUGAAUGCCUGCUCUGGCUUUGCCUUCUGCCAUGAUUAUAAGUUCCCUGAGGUCUCCCCAAAAGCAGAUGCUGCCAUGCUUCCUGUACAGCCUGUGGAACUGUGAGCCAAUGAAACCUCUUUUCUUUUUUUUUGAGACACAGUCUCGCUCUGUGGCCCAGGCUGGAGUGCAGUGGCAUGAUCUCGGCUCGCUGCAACCUCCACUUCCCGGGUUCAAGUGAUUCUCCCACCUCAGCCUCCUGAGGAGCUGGGAUUACAGACACUCCCCACCAUGCCUGGCUAAUUUUUGUAUUUUUAGUAGAGAGAGGGUUUCACCAUGUUGGCCAGGCUGGUCUCGAACUCCUGACCUCAAGUGAUCUGCCUGCCUCCGCCUCUCAAAGUGCUGGGAUUACAGGCAUGAGCCACCAUACCCAGGGCCUCUUUUCUUUAUAAAUAACCGAGUCUCAGGUAUUUAUAGCAAUGCGGCAACACACUAAUACACAGCAGUUUGCAGUCUCUGGGUUUCUCAAUAUUCUUCUUGGUUUCUUUAAUCUAGCCUUCUGUAAAUAGUACCUCCUCAGUAAGGUCUCUUCAGUUGAACUAUUUGAGCAGAGUUCUGUUUCCUGUUGGGACACUGAUGUAUUCUCUGAAGGCUCUUUCCAACUCUGAAGUCUUACACGUUCGUGAGGGGACGAUGUAACGACCUGGCUGACUCUCAGGCACCGGAGCCUGGGUUAUCCCGUGACAGUUUACAGGCUGAGUGAUCCCAGCUCCUCGGUAGUUCUUUCUUCCCCUCCUUUGGUCCUCAACCUUCACAGCCUUUGCUCAGAUUCCCAUCAUUUAUUUCUUGUUUUAAUCCGACUUUAUUGAGGUAUAAAUUACAAAUAGCAAACUACAUCCAUGAAAGUAUACAGUUAGAUGAAUACCUAUCUGUUAAAGCUUGAAUGUUUGUGUCCCUCUAAAUUCAUGUUGAAACUUAAUCCCCAUUGUGGUGGUAUUAACAGGUGGGGCCUUUUGGGAACUGAUUAAGUCAUGAGGGUUCUUCCCUUGGGAAUGGGAUUAAUGCUCUUGUAAAAGAGGCUUCAGAGGCUGGGCGUGGUGGCUCACGCCUGCAAUCUCAGCACUUUGGGAGGCUGAGGUGGGCGGAUCACAUGAGGUCAAGAGUUCAAGACCAGCUGGCCAACAUGGUGAAACCCCGUCUCUACUCAAAAUACAAAAAUUAGCUGGGCAUGGUGGCAGGCACCUGUAAUCCUAGCUACUCAGGAGGCUGAGGCAGGAGAAUCACUUGAACCUAGGACACGGAGGUUGCAGUGAGCCUAGAUUGUGCCAUUGCAUUCCAGCCUCGGCAACACGAGCAAAACUCUGUCUCAAAAAAAGAGGCUUCAGAGAGCUGCCUGGCCCUUCUCAUCCUUCUGCCAUGUGAAGACAUAGCGUGCAUCCCCUCUGGAGGGUAUAGGAACAAGGUGUCAUCUUGGAAGGAGAGAGCAAGCCCUCACCAGACACCAAAUCUACCGGCACCUUGACCUCCAGAACUUGCAGUUCCUGUUCUCCUGGCUGGACCCUGACUGAUGCCAUGGGGAAAGCCCUCGGGCUCGUGGACCUUAAAUUCCAGGUCCUGUUGUGCCCAACUCAUGAUUUAUCCAGGUCACACCAGUCUGGUCUGUCACAGUAAGAGGGCCACCAGGAAACACACCUUCAGGAAGCACCUUUUCUGUUCUAUCCCAAAGGGCACCAUCACAUACACUAUAAUAUGAAUCAUGACCCCCGGAGUUGUGUGGAGUUUCUGCAUCUCUCCCUCCCCACUGUGGCUACCCUCAUCCAGCAACCAUCCUGUCUCUCACCGGUAUUACCGCAGCUGAGACCCAGGUCUUAAGGAAGCUGAGACCCAGGCCAGCAGGGGCCUCACAGCUUGGAAAAAGAGGAGGGUGUAAGACUCUGGAUGAAGCUGAGAGAUCCUUCCAUGCUUGGCUGAGAGACUACACAGACAUGAGCUUCAGGAGACUCCAAAGCCUCGGAUCCCCUUCUAAACUAGCACUGAAUUCUGAUUGGCUGUCUUUGCCUGCCUCAGUUUGUUCCUUUUACUGAUUGGCUAGGUUCUUCUGCCCAUGGCAGAGCCCUGCUCCAGCCACCGGAUCCUCCCACCUGCCACAGUGUCACCUGGGAUUGGCUGGGCUCUGAAAGGCCAGGCUGGCUUGACUCUUGCCAUCAUCAGAUUCUUCCUCAUUAAACAAAUGAAUCACAAUCCUAAUUAAUUUGAGCAACAGAAUUUAUGUAACUACUCCCAGCAGGAUGUCUGCUCUCAGUCAGCAGAGAGAUUACUUCCUCUCUCUGGGAAAUUCCAGCCUUGCUGGUCAAUAAGCCUUAAUGAUGACUGAAAUCUCCCAUCUGUCUCUGCUCAGGGCAGGUAACCCCUACUAAGCAGACACCCAGUUGGCUCGAGGCAGUACCCCGGGCACCGGCAGGACAAGGACAACGAUCUCCCAGCCUAGAUGUGUCCUGAGCCACAUGGAGCACACAGUAGGUGUUUACUUAAGGACAGGGGCUGCCCCUUCCAGGGAAGUUCUGAACCACUUAAAACCCACAGGAAGUGUUCAAUGUCUACUUAUGGAAUAAAUGAAAGGGAGGAUGUGUCACUCAGAUACUUAUAAAAUGGUCUCAAGAUCCUAAACUCCAAGCAAGCUUCUCCAGCUCUUUCCAGCCUUUGCUCCCCCUAUUUCCCAUGACCAUAACCCAAUUCUGUCUUUUUCCUAUUUUGAACUUUCCAGACUCAGAAAUUUGGCUCUUCAUGUUCCCUGCCCUUGAACCGUCCCAGCCCUCUCUCCAAAACAGGCUUCAUGCUGGCUGCAUGGGAGGGAGGGGUAGCAAAGUGGAAAGUGUUACAGAAUUAGUGCUAAUUCUGGCUUUGUCACUUACUCAUUGUACUUCACCUCUCUGUUCUUAACUUUUCUCUCAUACAUAAACCACACGGGGUUCUUGGGAAGAUUAAAUAAGAAAACAUGGUGAAAAUGUAUUGCACAGUACUUGACUCAUUUAAUUGGUGACAGACAGUGUUUUAGGUAAUGGAGAUACAGUGGUGCUCAAGGCAGGCAAGAUUCCUGCUCCCAAAGAAUUUAAUUUCCAGGAGACAAGAAGCAAGCUAGCAAAUGUAUAAGAUAAUAGUUAGGGAACAGUACUCAGCAAAAAUAAAAAAUGUAUGGAGAGGGACUGAGGGGAGUGAGGAACUCUUUGAGGAGGUGCCACUCUGAGACCCAAAUGACAAGAAGGAAUUAACCACAUGACAUUCUAGAAAGAGGGAAAAGAGUUGCUGUUAAGAAGAUGUGGGUGUGUUAAAAAAAAAUUGCAAAGUCCCUUAGGUACGAUUGAGCUGCUAAUGAUCAAUCUGAGGCUUCUGCUCUGUGUCUUAUAGGUAAACGGGGUAAGGUUUGGUAGGACUGAAAAAUUCAUCCAGCCACCUAUCUAGGGGGUGUGAGGGUCAAGAUGUGGACCCAGGUCUUCUGCCCUUAAGAGCAGAGUGCUUGUCACUACAGCACAAAGAAGGUGCAAGAGAAAGGAAAAGUGAGUGGGAGGCGGUGAGGGAGGAACAGACUGCCUUGUCCUCCACCAGAUCUAAAUCUGUCUCCUCCUGAUGGUUGGCAGGAUUACAGGAUCUGACUCCCAUUUGGGCCUUCCACCUCCGCUGGCCUAAGCAGUCAAGUGUCAGAGAGCACUGGACCUAACAGCUCCCUCACCAGAGCAGCUGUGAUUCCUUCUUCAUUUCCAGCAGGGAAGACCCAACAACUUUUAUAAUAUGGGAUUUCUUUUAUUCUCAUGAUAAUAAUGUUCAUUGUGGAAAAUAAAAAAAAAUGAUAAAAUAAAAAUCAGCCAGAAUUCCAACUUCUGGAGAUUUUGGUGUCUUUCUGCAAAGUUCCUAUGCACAUAGAUACUUUAUAAAAUUAUGAACAUACUGUACAUACAGUUUUGGAAUAUGCCUUUUUCCUUCUGUCAUGAAAAAGUCUUCAAAUGCCUUUUAACAGCUACACAAUAGUUCACUACAUGAACCAACUCAAAUGUAACUAUUUUUGGCCUUUUGUUAUAAAUAACACAAGAACCCUCAGUCUUUGUUACAUAAUGUCCUAACAGAGUAGGGGAAAUGCUCCCCAAUCCGGUGCAAUGUCCUGUGCCCAGGGAAACCAAUU